UACGAAGGGUGCAAGCGUUACUCGGAAUUACUGGGCGUAAAGCGUGCGUAGGUGGUUGUUUAAGUCUGCUGUGAAAGCCCUGGGCUCAACCUGGGAAUUGCAGUGGAUACUGGGCGACUAGAGUGUGGUAGAGGAUAGUGGAAUUUCCGGUGUAGCAGUGAAAUGCGUAGAGAUCGGAAGGAACAUCAGUUGCGAAGGCGGCUCUCUGGACCAGCACUGACACUGAGGCACGAAAGCGUGGGGAGCAAACAGG
rnacentral:rRNA from 1 species